rnacentral:tRNA from 1 species
CCCCAGAUGGUGGAAUGGUAGACACGCUAGUUUCAGGUACUAGAGCUCGUAAGGGCGUGCAAGUUCAAGUCUUGUUCUGGGGA